UGCAUGGUGGCGCAGUUGGUAGCACUGUUGCCUUGCACUGUUGCCUUGCAGCAAGAAGGUCCUGGGUUCUACUCUCAGCUGGGGGUCUUUCCGCAU